GUUUCCUUAGUGAUAUGGCUGCUGUGGAAAGUGAAACCUCCAGAAAAUCCAGAGCUUUUAAGAAGAUACAAAAAGGUCUUGUGAACUUGAUAAACACUUGCUUUAUAUGGGGAGAGAAAUCUACAAACACAUAACCCAUGCAGUUUGCAGAGCUGAGUUGUUGGAAUGCAGUUACACUGGAGCAUAUCCAAAGCAAUCAUCCAUUCCUUAUAAAUUUCGGACCAUAAUAAUCCCGGAUUCAGAAAGAAAAGGAUUUAACAGUCAAAGCAAAAGAUUUUAUUGUAAACUGGAUGAAAACCCAGGUCCAGGUUUCUACAAUGUCAUUCAUCAAUCUCCAGAGUUCAACAGUGUCUCACUAUCAAAGAAAGGAACAGGAGCUUUUCCUUCGGUGGAUAACCGAAUGCCUAUGAAGACUUCCAGUUACCCAGCAGCCAAUGCCUACAACCUUCCAUCCAGUUUGAUUUCUAAGAAAGACUUUAGUAAUUCGUGCUCUCACAUGUUCCAUCUGCCCUUCUGUGAGAAAAUCUGCAAAUGGCUCACCCCAGCGCCCAAUCACUAUAAUGUUACUUGCAACCAAUACUGUCAAAGCAGCAUAAAGGCCGUGCCCGGGUGCGUGCAGGAGCCGAGUGGAGUUUCUAUGAAACUUUUCCUGACCACAGUUUUUCUGAACAAGGAAGAGAACAGUUGGAGUGCUCCUGCUGCUCGGCCUGGGUUUUUAUCAAAAACCCCAAGGGGGUAUACACCCACUAAACAAAGGCUAGCACCUUCCCCAGGGCAUUACCAGAUCAAUGAGACCUUGGUGAAGGAGGCCCCUAAGCUUGUCGGGUGUGGUUUCAAGUCAAGAACUGUUCGCGAAACGAAGAUAAUAUCUUUUGUCCCUGGUCCGGGCACCUACAAUCCUAACAUACCCAUCAAAGCUCCCCCAAAGAAGAACAAUACCCGGAAAAAAUACACACUGACCUUCUCUGCGUUCCCACUGCCUCCUCUUCCUAAGCCUCCUGUUACAGGUCCUGGUCAAUACGAUAUUGUGAACUAUGAAGGCCCCUCCAAGCAUUACAUCUCCAGUGCCACAUUCGUGUCCAGCACGAGUCGGUGGGGAAUGAACACAGACCAGAGUGGUCUUCCAGGGCCAAGUACUUAUGAUACAGUAUCCCAUAUUAUGCUUCUCUGUGCAUCGACCUGUCCUCCUUCUAGACCAAGCUCUUUGUAUUAAGGACCUACUAAGUGCGGAGUACUCUUCUAGAUGCUAGGGACAAUGCUGAGUUUAGCUACCUACAAGCCCGAAUUCCCUGGAAAACAGUCUUUCAUCUACAACAGUG